UCUUAUCAAGAGUGGAGGAGGGACCUAGACCGAGGAACCCCAGCAACCGGUUGAAAAAUACGGUGCUACUUCCAGCAGAAUGAUGUCCAUUUUGAGAGAUAAGA
rnacentral:ncRNA from 1 species